rnacentral:rRNA from 1 species
UACGUAGGGUGCAAGCGUUUGUCCGGAAUUAUUGGGCGUAAAGAGCUCGUAGGCGGUCUGUCACGUCGGCUGUGAAAACCCGAGGCUCAACCUCGGGCCUGCAGUCGAUACGGGCAGGCUAGAGUUCGGUAGGGGAGACUGGAAUUCCUGGUGUAGCGGUGAAAUGCGCAGAUAUCAGGAGGAACACCGGUGGCGAAGGCGGGUCUCUGGGCCGAUACUGACGCUGAGGAGCGAAAGCGUGGGGAGCGAACAGG